AAAUAUUUUCAAUAAAACCGUUCCAGAAUCUUUUUCAAGUGUAUUUAAUCAAAAUUAUUCAAAAUGAAAUUACCAAAAAGUGUCAAUAAUGUAGAACAUCUGGUUGAAUAUAUGGAAAGUACUGGAGUGUUAUGUUUUUUAGAAAUCGCUGAAAAUUUGAAAAUUUUUCGAAAUCGCACAGCUUUUGACCGUGGAGUAAUGAAUGAUGGUUUUAUUAUUCGCGAUCCGGAAGCAUUACGAACAAAACGGAGCUGUGCCGAUUUAUACAAGAGUGAAAUUCGAGCGGAAAAUGGAACAAUUAAAACAAAAAAUGAAUAAUCAAGCCAAAGGCAUGGAGUACAUUAAAAUGUCUGACUUGGUAGAGAAUCAUGCCUAUAGAGUUGAUUCAAUGAAAAAUUUGACAACGAGAAACGGUGUUGUGGUGGUGGCACGGUUGCCCGACAACCGACAAGUUUUUGUUCCAAGAAUACAGUUGACGGACGAUGAAAUUAAAACGUACAACGACGGCGACACCAAAAUGUCACUGUGUUACAGAGGAAGAACGGGAAAUGCUUAUUCAUUUGAUUUUCAAUAAAUUUUUUUUUUAAUACAUUAACUUUUUUUUUUUUUUUUACAAUCAACAAAUCUGUUUGUAUCUAAUGAUGAUUUAUGUACAACAAUUGAAAUAAAAUUAUAUAGUUCGUUCACAAUCUAUUUGUGUUUGCAUUAUUACUCCGAUAGUAUAGAACCUAAUAGUAGUUUAUGACAAAGGUAAAUUAUACUUUAGAUUAAUAUUAUAAGAUUGAUAGUUUUUCAAAUUGGUGGAAAAUGUAAAAACAAAAAUCACAAUAGCAAUACUUUAAAGUAGAUUUUAAGAAGAAAAAAAAACUCAUGUAUUCAAGUUUUACACACCAUUGAUAAUAUAAUCCGUUAACAGUCCAGUAGUGUUUACUCCAAUAGUAAAAGUACAUUGAACUGAAUAGUUGAUUAAAGAGGUGGCCAUACACACGUUUAACUAAUGUAUUAAUUUUUCAAUAGUUGUUAUCAUGUCGUUUGUAUGCGGUUGUGGGUCUUCAUUUG